rnacentral:lncRNA from 1 species
UUCAAACUACCUUUGUUGGAACGAUGUUGUUCUGGAUCGGAACUUGUUGGUUUGAUUCGAUCUGGAUCCGUCGGCUAUACCUUUGGUUCGGAUUCGGUGCGGUUGAGUCAGAUUCGGCGUUGUUGUAUUGAAGGGUUAGGUUUCGCGUUCUUGUGAAACGGCUUGUAUGGAGGGGUUUGGAAAAUUGUGGAUCGUGAAUCGUGAUGUUGUGAGGGUCGUAGGGAAUUUUGAGGGUUUCUUUGUAUUGAGACUUUUUCUUGUGCAGGUUUGGAUUGAGGUUUGCGGCUAGGGUUUGAUGCUGGUUCCUCCCUUGUUUGUGUGAAAUCCGCCUCUUUUUAAAGAAUCAGAGGUUGAUGAAAGAAGAAAUAGUUUAAUGAGUUUUGAAUUGGAAUUGAAUGGUGAAUUGAAUGGCUUGAAUGAGCAUAAUGGUGUGGUACGCGUUUGGUGUUGAGAAAGGAAAGAAGAAGUUCUGACUUUGAGCUUGAAGCCUGAAAUUGAGGCUCGGAUGGAACAACUUUGGACCCCAUGGACAUAUUUUUGGACAUAUUAAAAAAAAGGUUAUACAAAAAACUAGUAGAAGUAAUUUGAACUAAAAAAUGGAAAAUAAAAUAAAAAAAAGAUAAAAUAAAAUCGAGGCUAAAUAAAAUAUAAAAAGAUGGAAACUAAGAAAAAUAAAAAGACUAACAAUAAAUAAAGUGAGAAGAUGGCCGGAAUUGGUACAAAGAUGAGGUAUUUUAAAAUACCUCUCUGUCGAAUUUUUCUUGAAAUGUUAAAGUCCGACCAGGGUCAAGUGACACGUGUCAGUGGGGCCUUAGGUCAAAAAUUGGGG